rnacentral:rRNA from 1 species
AAUAGAUACCCGGGUAGUCCACGCCGUAAACGGUGAGUGCUAAGUGUUAGAGGGUUUCCGCCCUUUAGUGCUGCAGCUAACGCAUUAAGCACUCCGCCUGGGGAGUACGGCCGCAAGGCUGAAACUCAAAGGAAUUGACGGGGGCCCGCACAAGCGGUGGAGCAUGUGGUUUAAUUCGAAGCAACGCGAAGAACCUUACCAGGUCUUGACAUCCUCUGACAACCCUAGAGAUAGGGCUUUCCCCUUCGGGGGACAGAGUGACAGGUGGUGCAUGGUUGUCGUCAGCUCGUGUCGUGAGAUGUUGGGUUAAGUCCCGCAACGAGCGCAACCCUUGAUCUUAGUUGCCAGCAUUCAGUUGGGCACUCUAAGGUGACUGCCGGUGACAAACCGGAGGAAGGUGGGGAUGACGUCAAAUCAUCAUGCCCCUUAUGACCUGGGCUACACACGUGCUACAAUGGAUGGUACAAAGGGCUGCAAACCUGCGAAGGUAAGCGAAUCCCAUAAAGCCAUUCUCAGUUCGGAUUGCAGGCUG